GCGUACGGCCAUACCAGCCUGGGUACGCCCGAUCUCGUCUGAUCUCGGAAGCUAAGCAGGGUCGGGCCUGGCUAACACUUGGAUGGGGAGACCGCCUGGGAAUACCAGGUGCUGUAAGCA
rnacentral:rRNA from 1 species